CGUGCAAUCAUUUGGCACGCGGGGCUUCAGGUGUGAGCGCCCUAACAGGCAACGGAAAAAGAGGCGUCGCUUUCAGUUACGUUAUGUAGCCAACUAGUUUUCAGGUAAAUAUUUAAAAAUGUGAACGUUGAACGUUAUUUAAAAUAACGCUCAGAUACUAUAAUUGAAACUUAAAACGUUGUGGACUAAUAGAAGUCUGUAAACCGUAUUUUAAUAACCGUCCUUGUUGGAAUGUCGUUUUAACGGUGACCUAGAAAUCGCGUCGUCCAGGAAGUCGUUCAUAAUGAGAAGUACUUAAUGCUAAGUGGCGCACUGGAUUGCGUGAAAAGCAUUAUUCUCAGAGGGUGAGUAUUUUUGGUCCCAGAAUAAUUCAUAAUCUUUAUUGAUGCAAUGGCAACUGCCAGAAAAGAAACAAUGACCUGUUAAGAACACAGACAAUCAUUCAAAUGUUCAACGCAUAAGCAAAACACUUGUUUUUCCAUAUAGGUUUCUAUGUAGUUCUAAAUGAUUCCCAUGCCAGUGUGUGUGCGUCUGUUUGUGUGUGUGUGUGUAACUUUUUAAAUGUUUUUAAUUCAAUGGCACAAAUACAAAUGUUUACUCCAGUGCAUCAGGAACAAUGCUAUUUUUUUUCUUAAAUACUCUUUUUAAAAUAAUGUUAUUUUCAGCAGAAGAGCGGCCGCCCUGCAUGUCAGACGGCGGCCAUCGCCCGUCGCUCUCGUUACGCUGGCCGUAGAAGCCGUCGCUCUCCGUCACGUCCCCGCUCAGUCCUUCUGCGUCUCGUGGAUCUUCUCCGCUAUUUUCUGAAGCUCCACGUCCAUGGCUGCCAGGUUCUCCAGCUCCUUCUCCUGCAGAGAAAACGGGGGGUGGGGAAAGAGUCGCUGUCAUUUCGUCCGGCGGUCCGAACAGGGUGAAGUAUCGCCUUGAAGCUGAAUCCGCCUCUAAUCGCGGCCCUUGUAGCGAGCGGCUCAUCCCAAGGUCCAAUGACCGGGAAACAGGGUUUCUAACUGCGUAACCCCCCAGAGGGAUGCUGGAGCACUUUUCUGCACACGCGUGCGGGUUUGGGCAUGUGCGCGGGAUGGCUUGGCAGGCUGGCGCGGACAGUGAGCUUGGCAGCAGCAGGCUGGCAGUUGGCGGUUGG